UACGUAGGGUGCAAGCGUUAAUCGGAAUUACUGGGCGUAAAGCGUGCGCAGGCGGUUAUGCAAGACAGAUGUGAAAUCCCCGGGCUUAACCUGGGAACUGCAUUUGUGACUGCAUAGCUGGAGUGCGGUAGAGGGGGAUGGAAUUCCGCGUGUAGCAGUGAAAUGCGUAGAUAUGCGGAGGAACACCGAUGGCGAAGGCAAUCCCCUGGGCCUGUACUGACGCUCAUGCACGAAAGCGUGGGGAGCAAACAGG
rnacentral:rRNA from 1 species